CCCCCAGACUCCUACGGGAGGCAGCAGUGGGGGAUAUUGCACAAUGGGGGGAACCCUGAUGCAGCGACGCCGCGUGGGUGAAGGAGUGCUUCGGCAUGUAAAGCCCUAUCGGCAGGGAAGAAGCAAGACGGUACCUGACUAAGAAGCCCCGGCUAACUACGUGCCAGCAGCCGCGGUAAUACGUAGGGGGCGAGCGUUAUCCGGAUUCACUGGGUGUAAAGGGAGCGCAGGCGGCACGGCAAGUCCGGUGUGAAAGCCCGGGGCCCAACCCCGGGACUGCACUGGAAACUGCCGGGCUGGAGUGUCGGAGGGGCAGGCGGAAUUCCUAGUGUAGCGGUGAAAUGCGUAGAUAUUAGGAGGAACACCGGUGGCGAAGGCGGCCUGCUGGACGACGACUGACGCUGAGGCUCGAAAGCGUGGGGAGCAAACAGGAUUAGAUACCCCUGUAGA
rnacentral:rRNA from 1 species